UACGAAGGGGGCAAGCGUUGUUCGGAAUUACUGGGCGUAAAGGGCUCGUAGGCGGGAUGGCAAGUCGGUCGUGAAAUCCCUCGGCUCAACCGAGGAACGUCGAUCGAUACUGCUGUUCUUGAGGAUUGCAGAGGAGACUGGAAUUCCCGGUGUAGCGGUGAAAUGUGUAGAGAUCGGGAGGAACACCGGUGGCGAAGGCGGGUCUCUGGGCAAUUCCUGACGCUGAGGCGCGAAAGCGUGGGGAGCAAACGGG
rnacentral:rRNA from 1 species